UGAGGAAUAUUGGGCAAUGCCCGCAAGGGUGACCCAGCAACGCCGCGUGGAGGAUGAAUGUCGUAAGAUUGUAAACUCCUGUUAGAGGGGAAGAAUAGUACCGGUUGGACCGGUAUAUGACUGUACCCUCAGAGAAAGCCCCGGCUAACUACGUGCCAGCAGCCGCGGUAAUACGUAGGGGGCAAGCGUUGUCCGGAUUUACUGGGUGCAAAGGGCGCGCAGGCGGGAUAAAAAGUCAGUGGUGAAAUCCUACAGCUUAACUGUAGAACUGCCUUUGAUACUUUUAUUCUUGAGUUCGGGAGAGAGAGACGGAAUUCCAGGUGUAGUGGUGAAAUACGUAGAUAUCUGGAAGAACACCAGUUGCGAAGGCGGUCUCUUGGUCCGACACUGACGCUGAGGCGCGAAAGCGUGGGGAGCAAAC
rnacentral:rRNA from 1 species